GGAUCCAGACUUUGAUUAUGGCUCAGGAUGAACGCUAGCUACAGGCUUAACACAUGCAAGUCGAGGGGCAGCGGGAUUGAAGCUUGCUUCAAUUGCCGGCGACCGGCGCACGGGUGAGUAACGCGUAUCCAACCUUCCGUACACUCAGGGAUAGCCUUUCGAAAGAAAGAUUAAUACCUGAUGGUAUGAUGAGAUUGCAUGAUAGCAUCAUUAAAGAUUUAUCGGUGUACGAUGGGGAUGCGUUCCAUUAGGUAGUAGGCGGGGUAACGGCCCACCUAGCCAACGAUGGAUAGGGGUUCUGAGAGGAAGGUCCCCCACAUUGGAACUGAGACACGGUCCAAACUCCUACGGGAGGCAGCAGUGAGGAAUAUUGGUCAAUGGACGAGAGUCUGAACCAGCCAAGUAGCGUGAAGGAUGAAGGUCCUACGGAUUGUAAACUUCUUUUAUAAGGGAAUAAACCCUCCCACGUGUGGGAGCUUGUAUGUACCUUAUGAAUAAGCAUCGGCUAACUCCGUGCCAGCAGCCGCGGUAAUACGGAGGAUGCGAGCGUUAUCCGGAUUUAUUGGGUUUAAAGGGAGCGCAGACGGGUCGUUAAGUCAGCUGUGAAAGUUUGGGGCUCAACCUUAAAAUUGCAGUUGAUACUGGCGUCCUUGAGUGCGGUUGAGGUGUGCGGAAUUUGUGGUGUAGCGGUGAAAUGCUUAGAUAUCACGAAGAACUCCGAUUGCGAAGGCAGCACACUAAGCCGUAACUGACGUUCAUGCUCGAAAGUGUGGGUAUCAAACAGGAUUAGAUACCCUGGUAGUCCACACGGUAAACGAUGGAUACUCGCUGUUGGCGAUAUACAGUCAGCGGCUUAGCGAAAGCGUUAAGUAUCCCACCUGGGGAGUACGCCGGCAA
rnacentral:rRNA from 1 species